rnacentral:rRNA from 1 species
GAUUAACGCUGGCGGCGUGCAUAACACAUGCAAGUCGAACGAUGAAACUUAAAUGAUUUCUUCGGAAUGAACUUAAGUGGAUUAGUGGCGGACGGGUGAGUAACGCGUGAGUGACCUGCCUUACACAAGGGGAUAGCCGUUGGAAACGACGAAUAAUACCCUAUGAAACUAUCACUUCGCAUGAAGCGAUAGUCAAAGUGUUAGCGGUGUAAGAUGGACUUGCGUCUGAUUAGCUAGUUGGUGAGAAAAAAGCCCACCAAGGCAACGAUCAGUAGCCGGCUUGAGAGAGUGUACGGCCACAUUGGGACUGAGACACGGCCCAGACUCCUACGGGAGGCAGCAGUGGGGAAUUUUGCACAAUGGGGGAAACCCUGAUGCAGCGACGCCGCGUGAUUUAGAAGGCCUUCGGGUUGUAAAAAUCUUUUGUAUAGGAAGAAAAUGACAGUACUAUACGAAUAAGGUCCGGCUAAUUACGUG